rnacentral:rRNA from 1 species
AAAUUGAAGAGUUUGAUCAUGGCUCAGAUUGAACGCUGGCGGCAGGCCUAACACAUGCAAGUCGAGCGGCAGCGGGAAAGUAGCUUGCUAUUUUUGCCGGCGAGCGGCGGACGGGUGAGUAAUGCCUGGGGAUCUGCCCAGUCGAGGGGGAUAACAGUUGGAAACGACUGCUAAUACCGCAUACGCCCUACGGGGGAAAGCAGGGGACCUUCGGGCCUUGCGCGAUUGGAUGAACCCAGGUGGGAUUAGCUAGUUGGUGAGGUAAUGGCUCACCAAGGCGACGAUC